CUGUCCUGUGGCAUAUGGAGUUCCAGGGCCAGGGAUCAUAUCUGAGCCGCAGUUACAACCUAUGCUGCAGCUGCAGUAGCAUGGGAUCCUUUAACCCACUGUGCCAGGCCAGGGGUUGAACCUGGCACGGCAGAGAGGCCACUGAUCCUAAUGCACCACAGCAGGAACUCCACUGGUGGUUGUAUCUUAAUGAUAGAAUUAUAGGAGAAUUUUGGUUUCUCUUGCAUAUUUUUAUUCCUAUAUUUUCCACCCUAAAUAUGCUCUCACACUCAUCUAUUACCUUUGUGGUCACACCCUCCUCCCACCACAACCCAGAAAGUACUGAUCUGCUCUCAGUCCCUGUGGGUUUGCCUCUUCCAAGAAUGUCAUAUAAAUAGAAUCAUUCGGUGCAUCCUGGCUUGACUUGCACCAAUGCAUUAACUCACAGCAUCCUCAUUGCUGCAAACAUCAAUCUUUUGAUCCUUUUUAUUGCUGAAUAGCACCCCAUUGUAUGGAAGCAACCACAGCUUAUUCACUAGUUGAAAGACAUCUGGGUUGUUUCCAGUUUCGGGUGAUUACAAACAAAAACAAAGCAGCAAUAAACAUUUGUGUGCAUGUUUUUGUGUGAACACAUUCUUUCUUUUGGGGAAUUACAACUCUUUCUUUAAUCCUCACCUUUAGCCUACAGAAGUAUCAUUAUCCCAUUUUACGGAAUGGAAAUGUGAAACUUGGGGAGGUUUAAACAAGUGGCACAUAGUCAUGUAGCUGGAGGAGCCGGAUCACCCAGUGAGUCAGCUCACAAUGGACAGAGCUCCUCGUUGAGGGCCGCGCGGCACCUGCCCUCAGCGACUCUACAUAGGAAACCACCUAUCAACGGGGUACUUCUGCAGUGCUAAGACAGGGUCACAGACGGUGCUCUGGGAGCCCGGAGAAGGAGUACUGGCCGAGUCACGGAGGAGAUGUGAAAGUUACCCAGGAAGGGCUUGUUCCAGGCUCAGGAGCCGCAGGGACAAAAGCAUGGAGGUAUCCUGCUGACUGGCAAGUUCCAAAAAUAAUGGGCUACCUGGCAGUGGACCCACACUGGGAAAUAAGAGGAAGUACAUCUGGACAGGUAGGGAGGUGACAGUAACAAAUGACUUCAAUUCCAGGUGACGGAAUUUGGAUUCCCAGGUACUGUGUCUCCCUGGGAAUCCGGAAGGUUUGGGAGCUGCCAGGAGGUUUUCGGAGCCCAACGGUGCAUGGGUGAAGCUCAGGGUGAGGACUGCUGACAAAUGAGAAUGGCUGGCGCCAAACACACUGGGUGUUUAAGAGCUUAUUCCAAAGAACAGGAAGUACCGCUCUUUGCUUUCCUGGGGUGUGGACCCCAGCUCCCUUCACGGAUGAACAGAGAACCCACCAUACGGUUACUGAAGUUGCCGAUGUGCCUGAGUCCCCCACUGGACCAGGAGUCCCUGUAAUUUCCGGUCAGUGUCUGGCAUGUGUUGGCCACUCCAUAAAUGUUCACUGAACAAAUAAGAUAUUUUGUUCAUUAAAUAUUUGGGGUUAAUAGUUACCAUAUUGAACUCAGACGACGCCUUUCCAAAGAAUCAGAAUGCAAUAAAAUAGACCCUGUCAUAGAUUCUGACAACAUUCACCUCCUCUUCCCCACCUUCCUGGGAGGAUUAUGUUUCCCAGACUCUUUUUGUCUUGUUUUGUUUUUAGAGCCGCACCUGAGGCAUAUGGAAGUUCCCAGACUAGGGGGCAAGGCCAGAUCCUUAACCCACUGAGCGAGACCAGGGAUCUAACGCACGUCCUCACCAACACUAUGCCAGGUUCUUAACCCGAUGAGCCACCACGGGAACUUCUGUUUCCUUGACUCUUGAUUUGGGGCUUGAUUUGUGAUCAACACAAACAACUUGUGUUGCUCAGCUGGACGUCAGCAGAUGUGAAGCAAGAAGGGCUUCUGCUAUCGCCACUGUAUGAAACGCUGUCCAGCCUAAUGGUCCAUGGAGGAUGCAAGGACUUGGAACACAAACCAGAGCCAACUUGCUGCUUAGAGAUGCCCUGCUGAGCUCAGCUGAGAUGAGCCCACCCAGCAGACCUGCCUAAGAGUCAGCAAGAAAUGCAUGCUUGUUAUCGUAUGCCGCUGAGAUCUGCAAGUUGUUAUGUAGCCAGAGCUGACAGACACAACCCCAUACCCAAAAUGCGCCAGCGAUCACUUUGUUAUCCUUUGUUUAAGAAGGCGAGUCACAGGCUGAUUUCACACCACUGCUGAUCCUGUUUCCUUGUUUGGGACAUCUACAAAGCCGUUACGAGGACGGCAGGAGAUCAUCCAAGAAAAGCGGUGUGGCCCCUGGCACACGGAAAGUGUCCCGUGUGUGCCAUUACUGGUGACACUGUUGUCACUAUUAUCAUUAAGGUCUUUCCAGACCCUGCGUCUCUGGUUUAAACAGCACUUAUCACUGGGCAUGGAGCUGUGCCAGUGAGUAGAAAGCUCCGAAGACCAGAAGGUGAGGUGGCGGCACACGGACUGUACACUGACGUACGGACGUCCUUCCAAAAUGACCUCAGCUGAACGUCCCCGCCUCCGCCAGGGGGCUGAGGCACCAGUGCCUGUUUAUUAGUCAACGGAUGGACGGCACAGCCGUCCUGGGGGAGGCGGAUCAGGGUCCUCGUCUUGUGUCCCGCGGGUGAGAGCGGCUGAGGGUUUUAAUUGGCUGCCAGCCCAGCGCUCAGCGCGGCCCCCCACCCCACCCCCCUUCCCCUUCACACCUCACAGACUCUUCAUGCCCCUGAAUGCAAAACAUACAUGAUUCAAAAAGACCCAAAAUGCAGGGGCGCGAAGAGCCCCAAACGGAAUCCGCUCCGUGAGAUCACCUUACCUCCACGCUUCAUCUACCCACAGACCCAACCCGGGCAGCUCACCUCUGUCCCCCAGGACAGUGAACCAGGAGGAGCUCUCUGUGCCCCACCCACCCCACCAAAGGGUAGAGAGAAUGAUUUCCAAACUUUAUCUAGUUCAUAUGCAACGACGUCCUCCCAAAGGGCCACGUGCAGCCAUGGGCUCUGACAGCAUCUCCCACGUAACUAACCCCCGCUCCUCCAAACCCUUAGGAGCUGGGGAUGAGUUCUGCAAAUACCGGUGCCGUCCUGUCCUCAGAGUAUCAGGAUCCUACUGAUGCUUGGCUGGGGACUGGAAGUAUUUCUAGAGGCCCAACUGAGUCUUAGAGAAUAGAAAACAACCUAACCCGUGUUACGUAAUCAGGCCGGGAAAACAUGUUUCGUGUUAGAAAGGCAGCCAGCAAUUUCCCAGGAUUCAGACAGAGGUCUGGGCCGCUGGCUGGGCUCUGGACUUGCUCAGAAGGACAGUAUUUGCUCCUCUCUGUACCUCCUCCUCCUCUCCAUCGCUGACCUGCCUCCGUGUUCACUGGACGGUGUCACCCCCUCAGGAGAGGAUGAAUAAACAUAAAGCAGGAGACUUAUUAUGCAUCUCAGAGAGGUUGGCAAGAUCAAUAAAGUGUUUCUAACACAAACAGGAAACGAAAAUGAAGAGACAGCAAGGUCCUUGGAAGCAAACUGGAUCCCUACAAAAGUACAACAUAACCCUCUGCAUCAUCAAAAAGGUGGCCUCCUUAGCACCCAUCAGACCUGUCUCUAUCCUCAAGCCACGCGUGUUCCCAGGCCCGCUAAGACAUGCCCCCAGCCUCUGGGCUAUGCUCCCCCUGGCACGGCUGACCACUCCCCUCCCAGCCUCCUUUAGCAAUUAUUUCAUCGUAACACAGUGAUGGAUUUGAGAGAGGAGGUGCUGCAGGCUGAAAGAAUUUCUCCUGAGUUCUGGAGGCAGAGAGACUUGGGUUCAAGUUCUGGCUCCUCCACUUGACCGUGGGCAAGUUAUACAACCUCCCUCAGUCCUAGUUUUUUCAUCUGUGCUGUAGAGGCAGGAAUACCUCCAUCAGAGGGUGGCCCUGACGGUCCAGUGACACAGCCGUGUUCAAUACCACUUGUGCCCAGCACGCAGCAAACAUCUAGUAGAAUUUUGUUGAAUGGUGGAUGGGUGGCUUCAUCCUGUGCAACCCCACAGGGCCCUGCACUGUUUGAACACAGGAGCGCCCCAUUUUUGUUUGGCACUGGGCCCCACGGAUCACAAAGCUGGUCCUGGGGAGCAGCCAUCUGGGAAGGCAGCUGCUAGGACCCUGGGAAUCCUUGCCACCCAGUAGAGUAAGAAGGCAAACCCCAGCACAACCAUACACUUGAGGACUUUGGGUACACUGGGCAAGGAUACCAUAUUUGGAACAGAGCAAAAGAUGGAAAUAUUUUGCACUAAACCUGCAACAUUUCAUAGCGAGCUUCCAGGUAUUUAUUUAAAAAGAAAUAAAUGCAACCUCAUUGCAAGGGAGAAAGGUCCUUCCCCACUCCUGAUGUUCCCGUCCUCAUGGACAACAGUGGGGCUCGUUCUCCCUCAGCCCCUUCCUCCCUCCAUCGCCAGGACGUGGGGCACUUAAAUAAGAAACUGAGUAAAUUUGGGAGCAAUAAGCUGGACUUGCUCAGCUCUGCUCCCGGCUAUCUCCUCUUCCUGGGAGGGACUGGUGGUGUUGGAGGCCUGUCCGCUGCCACGGAGCAAGUGAGGCUCUCUGAUGCUGGGGUUCCACAUUACGGAGGCCAUCCGCUGCUCACCCGAGCCAUGCCCUCUGUCAGCCUUAUCAGUAGCAACGGUGAUUUUUGACUUUCAUCCAUUAUUCCGCUGUCUUACUCCUCCGAUUGU
rnacentral:lncRNA from 1 species